UACGUAGGGUGCGAGCGUUGUCCGGAAUUAUUGGGCGUAAAGGGCGCGUAGGCGGCUUGGCAAGUGGAUGGUGAAAUCCCUCGGCUUAACCGAGGAACUGCCGUCCAAACUGCUUGGCUUGAGACCGGGAGAGGUGAGUGGAAUUCCCAGUGUAGCGGUGAAAUGCGUAGAUAUUGGGAGGAACACCAGUGGCGAAGGCGGCUCACUGGACCGGUACUGACGCUGAUGCGCGAAAGCGUGGGGAGCAAACGGG
rnacentral:rRNA from 1 species